AAAAAUCCGCCUCUCAUAUAAGGCUGAGACACGAUGCGGAUAAAAAGUGGGUGAUCCUAUGCUGCCAAGAAAAGCAUCGACGCGAGGUUCUAGCUGCCCGUACCCCAAACCGACUCAGGUGGUCAGGUAGAGAAUACUAAGGAGAUCGAGAGAAUCGUGGUUAAGGAACUCGGCAAAAUGCCCCCGUAACUUCGGGAGAAGGGGGGCCAUCGACGUAUUAGGACUUGCUCCGAAAGCGUUUGGUGGCCGCAGAGACUAGUGGGUAGCGACUGUUUACUAAAAACACAGGUCCGUGCCAAGUCGCAAGACGAUGUAUACGGACUGACGCCUCCCCGGUGCUGGAAGGUUAAGAGGAGGGGUUAGCGUAAGCGAAGCUCUGAAUUUAAGCCCCAGUAAACGGCGGUGGUAACUAUAACCAUCCUAAGGUAGCGGAAUUCCUUGUCGGGUAAGUUCCGACCUGCACGAAUGGCGUAACGACUGCCCAACUGUCUCAACCGCGAACUCGGCGAAAUUGCAAUACGAGUAAAGAUGCUCGUUACGCGCAGCAGGACGGAAAGACCCCGUGACCUUUACUACAGCUUGGUAUUGGUGUUCGGUGUGGCUUGUGUAGGAUAGGUGGGAGACUUUGAAGCUUGGACGCUAGUUCAGGUGGAGUCAUUGUUGAAAUACCACUCUGGUCACUCUGAAUAUCUAACUUCGAACCGUAAUCCGGUUCAGGGACAGUGCCUGGUGGGUAGUUUAACUGGGGCGGUUGCCUCCUAAAGAGUAACGGAGGCGCCCAAAGGUUCCCUCAAUCUGGUUGGCAAUCAGAUGGCGAGUGUAAGUGCACAAGGGAGCCUGACUGUGAGACUGACAAGUCGAGCAGGGACGAAAGUCGGGACUAGUGAUCCGGCAGUGGCUUGUGGAAGCGCUGUCGCUCAACGGAUAAAAGGUACCUCGGGGAUAACAGGCUGAUCUUGCCCAAGAGUCCAUAUCGACGGCAUGGUUUGGCACCUCGAUGUCGGCUCGUCGCGUCCUGGGGCUGGAGUAGGUCCCAAGGGUUGGGCUGUUCGCCCAUUAAAGCGGUACGCGAGCUGGGUUUAGAACGUCGUGAGACAGUUCGGUCCCUAUCCGCUGCGCGCGCAGGAAAUUUGAGAGGAUCUGACCCUAGUACGAGAGGACCGGGUUGGACGAACCUCUGGUGUGUCAGUUGUUCCGCCAGGAGCACCGCUGAUUAGCUACGUUCGGGAUGGAUAACCGCUGAAAGCAUCUAAGCGGGAAGCCGGCCUCAAGGUGAGAUUUCCAUGCCUUCGGGCGAGAGGCUCCCAGCCAGACUACUGGGUUGAUAGGCCGGAUGUGGAAGCGUGGUAACACGUGAAGCUGACCGGUACUAAUAAGCCGAUGAU
rnacentral:rRNA from 1 species